CCCUUAGAUGUUCUGGGCCGCACGCGUGCUACACUGAGUGGAUCAGCGGGUCAGGUUGCGCGAAAGCGUUUCCUAAUCUUUAAAUCCGCUCGUGAUGGGGAUUGACGGUUGCAAUUUUCUGUCAUGAACGAGGAAUACCUUGUAAGCGCGGGUCAUCAUCCCGCGCUGAAUACGUCCCUGCCCUUUGUACACACCGCCCGUCGCUCCUACCGAUUGAAGUUUUCGGUGAGUUGACAGGAGGAUUUUUUUGAAACUGGUUCGCCAGUGGAUUUUAGAUCCAAAUGCCAACGAAUCGAUGGCCUUAGAGGAAGGAGAAGUCGUAACA
rnacentral:rRNA from 1 species